rnacentral:rRNA from 1 species
UACGUAGGUGGCAAGCGUUAUCCGGAAUUAUUGGGCGUAAAGAGCGCGCAGGUGGUUGAUUAAGUCUGAUGUGAAAGCCCACGGCUUAACCGUGGAGGGUCGUUGGAAACUGGUCGACUUGAGUGCAGAAGAGGGAAGUGGAAUUCCAUGUGUAGCGGUGAAAUGCGUAGAGAUAUGGAGGAACACCAGUGGCGAAGGCGGCUUCCUGGUCUGUAACUGACACUGAGGCGCGAAAGCGUGGGGAGCAAACAGGAUUAGAUACCCU